UCUCGCUGUGAAACCCUGUCGUGUGCUCUCCCAUCACUUCUAAUCGCUCGAAUCUGCACUUACAAACAUGACGCAUGCAAACAACGUGACAUCUCUGUGACACAUGCAAAUGACGUGACACCUCUUUGUCGUACGUAAACAUCAUGAGAGCGAGGAGCGGCGGAUGAGAUGAGGAUUGGCAAGAAGAUGACAAGGCAUUGAACAACAUAUCACAAUUGUAUCCUGGUUAGACUUGUGCGCAAUCGAAUUGCGAGGUAGGAGCGGAUCUGAAUGAUUUAUAGGACGGAAGACUUCUAUAAUCUGGAAUAUGGUAAUGCUGAACUUUAGUUGGAGAUUACAUUAUACUUGCAAUACUCUUGAUUGAACUGUCAACAGAACAUCGUACUCAGAUUUGGUAACCUCCCAAUGAGCUUUACCGAGCUUGUUAUUAGAGUCAACCCACCAAUUGCCUCGAGAUAAGAAAUUUCUCCAGUGUCACCGAUCAAUCUCAAUACGAAGGAUGACAUAGGAACGACUGCACGAAUCUCUUUCGUAAGAGCAAAGUGUCACGAAUAUCCGAGAUAAGUAGCAAAAAAUAGCACUUUCACCUUUGAAGAGGAACACGUGAAGCAUAACUGCGGUUGUCCAAACCAACCAACGAGUAGAAACUUCCAUUCACUUGUACCAUGUUCUGGAAGACCACGUCUUUCUCCAUCGAUAACAAGUCCAAUUUGGAACGACACUUAUUAAAUAACGUCAUCCUAGGCAAGCAUGUGAUAGACAGAAGAAUGAGGAAAGGCGAUCCUAGAUACUACUUUUUUCUGUUUUAUACUUUCUUCUUGUAUUUUUUUUCCGCUUCUAUCUCACCAUCUUUUAUUUCAUGCAGUUGGUCACCGAAGCCGGAUGAAUCCUUUGUUGUUUUUUUUAUCUUACUUCUGAUACCAAUAUUGAGUAGAUAUUGUAAGCCCUGUGUGCGUGUGUGUGUGAAGUGUUGAAUACAGUAAGGUACACCAUCGUUUGUUAAUAGGUUUAUUAUUGGGUCACCUCGGAUUUGCUUGAACUAGUCUCUUGCAUUCAUUGUUGAAUUUUGAAUUUUGGAGUAGAAAUCAUCGUGUUGGAGCCUCGCCAUCUUUGCUUUCGGACGACCCAGAAUCAGUCAAAUUAGAGUUAGAACAAAACUUUUUGGCAACAAUUCAAGUGGUAAACUGCUCCUUCGCACCUUGGAGUAUCCAACCAACUUAUGAGAGAAGCAAUGAUGAACUGUGAAAUAUUAGAUUGCUACAAAUACUGGUGUUAUUAAACUUCAGCAACAAGCAAAGGAUUGUUCCAGCAGUUGGUGUCGUAGUCUAAAGUGAGA